rnacentral:lncRNA from 1 species
AAAGUUUGACACAGAAGUAUAAUCACAUUAUAGCCAAUGUUAAACCAUAUUUGUCAUCAAUAAAAUGACAACCAUCAAUUUUUCAUAAAGAGAGUUAGAACACCAAAAUAACUUUCUAUAAAUACUAACACAAGUGAAGAGGCCAAAGACCCUUUAAAUGUACCAUCAUUCUUGCAUCAUCCCUUAAUUCAUAUUUAACUUUAAACUCUACAACAU